rnacentral:rRNA from 1 species
UACGGGGGGGGCAAGCGUUGUUCGGAAUUACUGGGCGUAAAGCGCGCGUAGGCGGAUCUGCAAGUCGGGGGUGAAAUCCCGAGGCUCAACCUCGGAACUGCCUUCGAUACUGCGGGUCUCGAGUCCGGGAGAGGUGAGUGGAAUUCCUAGUGUAGAGGUGAAAUUCGUAGAUAUUAGGAAGAACACCAGUGGCGAAGGCGGCUCACUGGCCCGGUACUGACGCUGAGGCGCGAAAGCGUGGGGAUCAAACAGG